rnacentral:lncRNA from 1 species
GGUAAUACAAGCUCGGUCAGUGUUAGUUAGCUAGAAUAAAGGAACUCAAAUUCUUUGAGCGUCUGUACAGGCCGUUGAUGCAUGUGUUCAUGCACCGGCCCUCCUUUCUUUCAGCAGAGUCGUAGGACUAGGUGGGGUGAUGGCCAAGUCUCUGAAACGUGGGAUGGUGCGUUUCAUGCAGAGGCGAGGGGAUCGCAGCGUCGUUGUGAGUUUGGGC